UCCGGUUUGUCACCGGCAGUCUCAUUAGAGUGCCCAACUGAAUGUAGCAACUAAUGACAAGGGUUGCGCUCGUUGCGGGACUUAACCCAACAUCUCACGACACGAGCUGACGACAGCCAUGCAGCACCUGUGUUACGGCUCCCUUUCGGGCACGCCUCCCUCUCGAGAGGCUUCCGUACAUGUCAAGGGUAGGUAAGGUUUUUCGCGUUGCGUCGAAUUGAACCACAUGCUCCACCGCUUGUGCGGGUCCCCGUCAAUUCCUUUGAGUUUUAACCUUGCGGCCGUACUCCCCAGGCGGUCAACUUCACGCGUUAGCUUCGUUACCAAGGGAAUCAAUCCCCCGACAACCAGUUGACAUAGUUUAGGGCGUGGACUAC
rnacentral:misc_RNA from 1 species